rnacentral:rRNA from 1 species
GACGAACGCUGGCGGCGUGCUUAACACAUGCAAGUCGAACGAAGAGCGAUGGAAGCUUGCUUCUAUCAAUCUUAGUGGCGAACGGGUGAGUAACGCGUAAUCAACCUGCCCUUCAGAGGGGGACAACAGUUGGAAACGACUGCUAAUACCGCAUACGAUCUAACCUCGGCAUCGAGGAAAGAUGAAAGGUGGCCUCUAUUUAUAAGCUAUCACUGAAGGAGGGGAUUGCGUCUGAUUAGCUAGUUGGAGGGGUAACGGCCCACCAAGGCGAUGAUCAGUAGCCGGUCUGAGAGGAUGAACGGCCACAUUGGGACUGAGACACGGCCCAGACUCCUACGGGAGGCAGCAGUGGGGAAUCUUCCGCAAUGGACGAAAGUCUGACGGAGCAACGCCGCGUGAGUGAUGACGGCCUUCGGGUUGUAAAGCUCUGUUAAUCGGGACGAAAGGCC